rnacentral:rRNA from 1 species
AUUGAACGCUGGCGGCAGGCCUAACACAUGCAAGUCGAACGAGUGGCGGACGGGUGAGUAAUGUCUGGGAAACUGCCUGAUGGAGGGGGAUAACUACUGGAAACGGUAGCUAAUACCGCAUACCAUCGGAUGUGCCCAUAUGGGAUUAGCUAGUAGGUGGGGUAAAGGCUCAACUAGGCGACGAUCCCUAGCUGGACUGAGAGGCUGACAAUCCAAAAUGGACCGGAGACACGGUCCAGACUCCUACGGGAGGCAGAAGUGGUGAAUAUUGAACAAUGGGCGCAAGCCUGAUGCAGCCAUGCCGCGUGUAUGAAGAAGGCCUUCGGGUUGUAAAGUACUUUCAGCGGGGAGGCGUUACCCGCAGAAGAAGAACCGGCUAACUCCGUGCCAGCAGCCGCGGUAAUAC